GCUUGUCGCGCGGUGCGGUUCGUUUUAUUAAUUUUAAACGUUACGGGAUAUUCCGGUAGGAUUAAAGAAUAUCACAUUUAUACAAAAAAAGUAAACAGCCACACAACAAACAAAUACGAAUGGAGUUUUUUUUAUGCUUUAAAUAAAUUUAUUUAAUAAAAAAAAUUUGUGAAAAUAUUGUCUGCGAAAGAAGUUGGUUUGAGCCACAAGAAAUAUGAAUGAAAUUGGAUACCAGAUCAAAAGAGUUGUUACAAAGUUUAAAACCGACUAACAAGUGCUAUUUUUUUUAUUAUUAAAAUAAAUAGAAAAAAAUAAACAAAACAGAUAAAAGAAGUGAGAAGUUAAAGUUUUAUGAUGAUAUAGAAUAAGAUAAUGAAGAGUAAAUGAUAAAAAAAAAGGGAGAGAGAGUGUUAGUGAGUGAGCGAGUGUUAAUAAAGAGGUGUCAAAAUCAUUAACAAAAACAACAAAUACAAAGAAAAUAUACCGGCAAUUUUAAUGCUUUUUUGUGUGUAGCAACAAUAACAAAGCAGCUAUUUGUAAACUUUUUGUGCAAAACCUCGCCGAUCAGAAAACAAAAGAGUGCCUUUUUUCACCCAGUUUAUAGGUAGAAGUUGAAAGAAAAACAUCACCCCCUUUUUAUUGCUUUUUUAUGCAAAAAUAAAUUGAAACCAACCAACCAGCCAGCCAGUCAGCCAUCCACUCCCUAAUCAAGCUGACUCAGUCUGCUGAACCAACAGCCAAAACAUCCAUUUAACUAACAACGAACCCUAAACUAUACAACAACGUUAAUAAAAGGGGAAAAUAAGAAAAAAAAUAUACAAAAAACAUUUUGCUAUAAAAACAAGCAAUAAAACAACAACUACAACAAACAAUAACAAGCCACCCC